GAAAGUGGCGCACGGGUGCGUAACGCGUAUGCAACCUACCUUAAUCAGGGGGAUAGCCCGAAGAAAUUCGGAUUAACACCGCAUAAAAACACAGGAUAGCAUUAUCCAAUGUUCAAAUAUUUAUAGGAUUAAGAUGGGCAUGCGUGUCAUUAGCUAGUUGGCGGGGUAACGGCCCACCAAGGCGACGAUGACUAGGGGAUCUGAGAGGAUGACCCCCCACACUGGUACUGAGACACGGACCAGACUCCUACGGGAGGCAGCAGUAAGGAAUAUUGGUCAAUGGAGGCAACUCUGAACCAGCCAUGCCGCGUGCAGGAAGACAGCCCUCUGGGUCGUAAACUGCUUUUAUUCGGGAAUAAACCUACAUACGUGUAUGUAGCUGAAUGUACCGAAGGAAUAAGGAUCGGCUAACUCCGUGCCAGCAGCCGCGGUAAUACGGAGGAUCCAAGCGUUAUCCGGAUUUAUUGGGUUUAAAGGGUGCGUAGGCGGCCUGUUAAGUCAGGGGUGAAAGACGGUGGCUCAACUAUCGCAGUGCCCUUGAUACUGAUGAGCUUGAAUGCACUAGAGGUAGGCGGAAUGUGACAAGUAGCGGUGAAAUGCAUAGAUAUGUCACAGAACACCGAUUGCGAAGGCAGCUUACUAUGGUGUGAUUGACGCUGAGGCACGAAAGCGUGGGGAUCAAACAGGAUUAGAUACCCUGGUAGUCCACGCCCUAAACGAUGAAUACUCGCUGUUAGCGAUAUACAGUUAGCGGCUAAGCGAAAGCGUUAAGUAUUCCACCUGGGGAGUACG
rnacentral:rRNA from 1 species